ACGCCGGCCAACGUAAUUACCUCUCCACUCCCCUAUUCCCCUGUCUGUUUAUUAGUGUCCUCUGUGUGUGCCAUACUAUUGGGUAUGGGGGAGGGCAUAGUCAUUGGGGGUGGAGUAUGCAGUGGGGAUCCAUGCUGUGUUGCUGUGGGUUGCUCACCAUUUAUACUACAGGGUGGAUUAUUUUCACUGAAUUAUAUUAGUGGCCCCACUGUAUUUUGCGUACGUAAUAUUGUGCCUCCCUAUCCGGUAGUUGGUGUUACUACAGUUUUAUGAACUUUAUGUAAUAAUAAACUAUUUGUAUUUUGACUUUA